UUCUCGGCCAUGCCAGUCUUGGGACCCUCCUGAGCGGUGAUUUGGGAGGAAUAAGCAUCCAGGGGCUUGAAGUGAGCCCCAGAUCUCCUGGCAGGUGGGCCCAGACAGCCUAGAGGCCCCUCAGCCCCACAUUCUCGUGGCUCGAGGGUCUAAUGUUCUCUACUCUAAGAGCCAAGCCCCAGGGCUGAUGCCCCUACAGCAGCACACAUCACAAACAGAGGCGGGGACUUGGUGGGAAGUAGGGAAGAGCAGGGCAGCUGGGCUGUACCUGGGCACCCACCUGUGGGCUGCGGGGUGCUGGGGGCCAUAGGGGCCUGCCCAGUGGAUGUGGAGGGGGCAGGAGUGCUGGGGUCCCCUCUCAUGGCCACAGUGGCCACAGGGGCUUUGGGGAUGGGGUCUUUCUGGGGCCCGCUGAUGCCUGGCAAGAGAUGAGAAAAGCAAGAGGGUGGGGAGUUGGCAGGUGUGGGGGAAACACAGAGAAAUGACUUCUGGCCUCACUAAGUGGGCCAGCAUCCCCUCCAGGAUCCAGCUUCCUCUGGGACCCUCUCUGCCCCUCCAGGGGUCCCAGCAGGGAGCAGCCCAGGGUGGGCCGUGGCCCUCCCUCAAGCAUUUCUGAAAUAUAAGGUGGGCCACCAGCUGGCCUCUGACACUGACAAGUCCUCUCCUGCUGACUCUAAAAGCUGAUGGCAGAUCCCACCCAGGGGGAGGAUGCCAGGAGGAAGUGGGGUACCAGAAGUACCCCACUAGCCAGUGCCUGGAGCUGUGAGCACUGGAGGGCCAGCAGCUUGCUGACCACUUGUCAGCCUGCAGGCACCCCCGCCCAACCCUCCCUGGAGCCCCCCCCCCCCCACUCCGUCCCAUGGUCUGCCCCCUCUGAGCUGGCCUGCAGGUGGCAGGAUCCCGGCUUACCUGCAAGCUGCCCCAAGGCAGGCAAACCCCAAUGUCAGGCUGCGGGGGGGGCCUUCUGCCUCUGGCCAGGAAGAAGGGAUCCCCGUUCUUGCCCGAGAGGAGAGGGUGGCAUGGGGAGUUCACCCAGGGGUUGUGGGGCCCUUUCCAAAGCAGCACUGACCAGGAAGCUCAAGGGGAGAAGUGUGGGAGGUGCUGGCUGCAGGCCACAGCCAGGGGACAGGAGGGAGCAGGGACAGGCGACGGAGUGAAUGGGGUGCGAUGGGAGUCGUCAAGAGGCUCGUGCACCAGGGGCCUUCCCCAGGGCAGGGGAUCUGGAGCAUACUUACUGCCAACAGCUGAGCCUGCAGCAGCACCUGGGGGAGAGAAGGAGGGUCACAGGGCCUCCCCUGCAGGGGGCAGGGGGUGGCAGGGCUGGGGAUGGAGACCUAGAGGCCACAUGUAGGGCUGGCUCCGUUUAUCCCAUUUCAUCCCCACAGCCACCCUGAGAGGGAUGGGCUGCCUUACUUAGCUCAUCUGGCAGAUGGAGAAACUGAGUCUCAGAGCCAUGACUUAGCCUGGGGGACCUGCGGAAGCAUCCAGCUAAUUAUGAAAGAGGGAAGGUAGGAUUAGAAGGUCGCCAUGUAGCAGCCCCGCCACCCCCCACCCCUGCCUUCGUGAACAGCUCUAUGCUCUGAGCAUCAGCAGCCUGCCAUCUCACGGCGACAGCCGACCAGCCAGAGCUUCCCGACGCGAGGACACAUGGCACCCUGAAGCCGUUGCACCAAAACACCCUGAACCUGAACCUGAGGGAGCCUCCGCUUCCAUCUACGGAUUCACAGGAAACAUGGAAGGCAGAGGAACGAACAGAGCAACAGCAGCAGGACGCCGUUGGCCAAAUGCAGGCAGAGGGGACUCCAGGAGUGACGAGCCAGCUUCUUGACCAGCUGGAGUGCAGGAGGCCAAAACCAGUGAGGGAGCACCAGAUCAAAAGAAGCCUCAAAGGCAUCCGCUGACUGCAACCUCUAAACUCAAAUAGACAAAUGUUCACAAAGCAAUUGGAAAUCUGGAGACCGUAUUUGAUGAUCUUAGAUUAAUGCUGAUUAGGUGCGGGGAUGGCAGUGUGGUUAUGUUUUUUAAAGCCCUGCUCUUUUCAAGAUACACACUGAGGCAUUUACAGAUGAAAUGAUCUGGUGUCUGGGAUUUGCUUCAGGAUAACACGGAAAGGAAGACGGUGGCCGGAGAUGGGGAUGAAAGCAGGGAGACCACGAGUUGAUAGCUGGCCAAGUCGGGGGACAGGUAUAUAUGGAGGUCCUGUAUUUGCACCUGCAUGUUGGAAAUCCCCCAUAAUAAAAAGAAAGCCGGCAUUCUCUAGGUUCUGA